UACGUAGGGUGCGAGCGUUGUCCGGAAUUAUUGGGCGUAAAGGGCUCGUAGGCGGUUUGUCGCGUCGGGAGUGAAAACCCAGGGCUUAACCCUGAGCCUGCUUCCGAUACGGGCAGACUAGAGGUAUGCAGGGGAGAACGGAAUUCCUGGUGUAGCGGUGAAAUGCGCAGAUAUCAGGAGGAACACCGGUGGCGAAGGCGGUUCUCUGGGCAUUACCUGACGCUGAGGAGCGAAAGUGUGGGGAGCGAACAGG
rnacentral:rRNA from 1 species